AGUAUCUGUCAUCCUCAUACGUGUGUGUGUGUGUGUGUGUGCUCCAGCUCUGUUGUGUCGGCGUAUCUCGGCUCGUCUCAUGAUGGCGGUCGGCUCUGUGAAUUCAGCAUCACACAGUACGCUUGUGCAGAGUUGACAGACCUGAGCUCGCAGCACCUGGCGACGGUGUUGUCAUGCGGUCUCAAUGGGAAUGAGAACGUGUCCGAGGAGACGUGGAAACUCUUGACGCAGAAGGUGAACCCUGUGCUGGGUCCAGCGCUCGACCUGCUCGCCCACACGAGGCUGAAUAAGUCCCACCCCGCAGUCUCAUUCUUGAAUGUGAUUGGAGAGGUCACUCUGAGCUCCUUCAGCUCCACCAAUCUGAGAGAUGAUUUGUUCGUCCAGCGCUGGUUUGACUUCAGGCUCCGCCCAUUUUUACCCUACGCCUCCGAGACAUUCCUGUCCUGUCUGUCCACCAGAGACUUCAGCUGUGACACCUACAGGAGCGUGUGA
ensembl:lncRNA